AAAUUGAAGAGUUUGAUCAUGGCUCAGAUUGAACGCUGGCGGCAGGCCUAACACAUGCAAGUCGAACGGUAACAGGAAGCAGCUUGCUGCUUCGCUGACGAGUGGCGGACGGGUGAGUAAUGUCUGGGAAACUGCCUGAUGGAGGGGGAUAACUACUGGAAACGGUGGCUAAUACCGCAUAACGUCGCAAGACCAAAGAGGGGGACCUUCGGGCCUCUUGCCAUCAGAUGUGCCCAGAUGGGAUUAGCUUGUUGGUGAGGUAACGGCUCACCAAGGCGACGAUCCCUAGCUGGUCUGAGAGGAUGACCAGCCACACUGGAACUGAGACACGGUCCAGACUCCUACGGGAGGCAGCAGUGGGGAAUAUUGCACAAUGGGCGCAAGCCUGAUGCAGCCAUGCCGCGUGUAUGAAGAAGGCCUUCGGGUUGUAAAGUACUUUCAGCGGGGAGGAAGGUGUUGUGGUUAAUAACCGCAGCAAUUGACGUUACCCGCAGAAGAAGCACCGGCUAACUCCGUGCCAGCAGCCGCGGUAAUACGGAGGGUGCAAGCGUUAAUCGGAAUUACUGGGCGUAAAGCGCACGCAGGCGGUCUGUCAAGUCGGAUGUGAAAUCCCCGGGCUCAACCUGGGAACUGCAUUCGAAACUGGCAGGCUUGAGUCUUGUAGAGGGGGGUAGAAUUCCAGGUGUAGCGGUGAAAUGCGUAGAGAUCUGGAGGAAUACCGGUGGCGAAGGCGGCCCCCUGGACAAAGACUGACGCUCAGGUGCGAAAGCGUGGGGAGCAAACAGGAUUAGAUACCCCGGUAGUCCACGCCGUAAACGAUGUCUACUUGGAGGUUGUGCCCUUGAGGCGUGGCUUCCGGAGCUAACGCGUUAAGUAGACCGCCUGGGGAGUACGGCCGCAAGGUUAAAACUCAAAUGAAUUGACGGGGGCCCGCACAAGCGGUGGAGCAUGUGGUUUAAUUCGAUGCAACGCGAAGAACCUUACCUGGUCUUGACAUCCACAGAAGAAUCCAGAGAUGGAUUUGUGCCUUCGGGAACUGUGAGACAGGUGCUGCAUGGCUGUCGUCAGCUCGUGUUGUGAAAUGUUGGGUUAAGUCCCGCAACGAGCGCAACCCUUAUCCUUUGUUGCCAGCGAUUAGGUCGGGAACUCAAAGGAGACUGCCAGUGAUAAACUGGAGGAAGGUGGGGAUGACGUCAAGUCAUCAUGGCCCUUACGACCAGGGCUACACACGUGCUACAAUGGCGCAUACAAAGAGAAGCGACCUCGCGAGAGCAAGCGGACCUCAUAAAGUGCGUCGUAGUCCGGAUUGGAGUCUGCAACUCGACUCCAUGAAGUCGGAAUCGCUAGUAAUCGUGGAUCAGAAUGCCACGGUGAAUACGUUCCCGGGCCUUGUACACACCGCCCGUCACACCAUGGGAGUGGGUUGCAAAAGAAGUAGGUAGCUUAACCUUCGGGAGGGCGCUUACCACUUUGUGAUUCAUGACUGGGGUGAAGUCGUAACAAGGUAACCGUAGGGGAACCUGCGGUUGGAUCACCUCCUUACCUUAAAGAA
rnacentral:rRNA from 1 species